AAUACAUCCUGGAACGAUGAAAAA
rnacentral:siRNA from 1 species